UAAGACGUAGGAUCCGAGCGUUAUCCGAAUUUACUGGGCGUAAAGCGCGUGUAGGCGGUCGGGUAAGUUGGACGUGAAAGCUCCUGGCUCAACUAGGAGAGGUCGUUCAAAACUGCCUGGCUAGAGGGCGACAGAGGGAGGUGGAAUUCCCGGUGUAGUGGUGAAAUGCGUAGAUAUCGGGAGGAACACCAGUGGCGAAGGCGGCCUCCUGGGUCGCACCUGACGCUCAGACGCGAAAGCUAGGGUAGCGAACGGGAUUAGACACCCCGGUAGUCCUAGCCGUAAACGAUGUGAACUUGGUGUUGGUGGGGUAAAACCCAUCAGUGCCGUAGCUAACGCGAUAAGUUCACCGCCUGGGGACUACGCUCGCAAGGGUA
rnacentral:rRNA from 1 species